UUUUGGUGUAAUCACAGCAAUUGGAAGCAAAAGAGAUGAUACAUGCUGCCAAAGAUUAUUUCUUAAGUAACACAUAAUUUCUUAGGUGGAGAAUCAAAUUAAGGAUGUCAUUUCUUUGAACGAACUUCAGUUUAUGUUUUGGUACCUGAAGCUUGGCCUAAGGCUCGGUUAAAGGUUUUAGCUAGCCGCUCUACAGCUCUAAAAAAGCUAGCCAAUCUUGAGUGGCUCACAAGCAGCUUGGUUUGUUCACACCCCUAAUGCCGACAUGAGAAUGUGCCCAAAAGUAGCAAUAUCCUCCAGAUCAAUCUAGAGAAUACAAGCCAAUCGAACCAUUUCAUAUGUCCUUAACUCUGUCUUACCGCUUACAUGGAUAAAUUUUAUUUGUCUAGCUUGCUUAAUAUUUCAUAUGUCCUUAACCAUGUUGUGGACAAGAAUACAGUGAGUUGUCUAGACAUAUUGUUUAGUUUUCAGAAAUGCCAUGCUUGUUGCUUGUA